GCUGGGAUUACAAGCAUGAGCCACAGUGCCUGGCCGUUUUUAAAUUUAAAUUUUUAAACAUAAAUUGAAUAAAAUAGGAAAUUUGGCCCCUCAGUCUCACUACCCAGAUUUCAAGUGCUCAGUAGGCACAUGUGGCAGUGGCUGCUGCAUUGGACAUAAUGAGGCCAGAUUGUCUGGAAACGAAGAAAGCUGUUGGAGAGCUAGACUGGAACCAGAUGACAGAGGACUCUGGAAGCCGUGGGAAAAUGUUUGGAUUUCAUUUGGCUUGUGAUAGAACGCUACUGAAGUUGAGUGGAUAGAACAUUUACUGGUGAUGAGAGACUCUAAAGAAGUCACAGCUUGCUUCCUUUCUGAAGAACGUUGUGAUUUUGGCUCACGUGCAGUGCACGACAACUCUUCUCCAACAGCAUGACAUAGUCCACUGUCUCAGGAUCCCAUUUUUCCACCAGCUGCAGAGCAGGAAGGGACAAAUCAAAGUGUGAGCAUUCGGAUCACCAACGCUGUGACCUCGCUGUGUGAACGGGAGCUACUACAGGAAGGAAGCUUACAAAUGAGCUGCAUGGAUCCCACAUUUUGCUAAAAUCAAAUAGGACCUUUCUCCUCUUUGUUGAAUGCCGUAAUACACAAGAAAUAAGCCAGCAGGAUGCUCAUGUCCAAGGUUUCCCUUUAUCUACCACACGAGUUGGCAUGAAACAACUUCUGGGGUUCAAAUCUUCUGA
ensembl:lncRNA novel transcript